UACGUAGGGGGCAAGCGUUGUCCGGAUUUAUUGGGCGUAAAGAGCGUGUAGGCGGCUAAAUAGGUCCGUUGUGAAAACUCGAGGCUCAACCUCGAGAUGCCGAUGGAAACCAUUUGGCUAGAGUCCGGAAGAGGAGAGUGGAAUUCCCGGUGUAGCGGUGAAAUGCGCAGAUAUCGGGAGGAACACCCGUAGCGAAGGCGGCACUCUGGGCCGGUACUGACGCUGAGGAGCGAAAGCGUGGGGAGCAAACAGG
rnacentral:rRNA from 1 species